rnacentral:misc_RNA from 1 species
CACAUACAACAUCCGUUUUGUCAGUCAGUCGCCCGCGGGUUUAUAUCCCGUUCGGUCGCGUUAUUAUUUAUCCAAAUUGACAAAUAACAACAUCAACACAGUGAUAAACAACAUUUUUAAAAAAUAACACACAAAAAUUAUUUUAUUAUUUUGUUAAUUAAAUUUUUAUUUAUCUUUCUUGUUUUUCAUCCAAAAAAGUUUUUUAUUAUUCAAUUUUUUUUCAUUUGUUUUUAUUGUUUUUUUAUAUUUUAUUUUUUCAUUUAUUUUUUACCAUGAGUUUUGACAUUUUUGAGGAAUUAUAAAAAAAAACGUUGGCAAAGUGAUGAAUGAAUAAACUAAUUAUUUAUUUAAAACAAAAAAAUUGUGAAAAAUUUUAUGUAUCAUUUAUUUAUUUUUCGAGACAGUUGUUGAUGUGUAUGAUGAAUUUAUUUAUUUUAUUUUUUUGAAUUAAAACAAUAAUUGUGAGUUUAUGAAAGAUCAAGUGAUUAAAUUAGUGGUUUAUUUAAACUUGAGAUUAAAAAUGCAAGUUUUUAUGUGUGAAUUGUGAGAUUAUAAUUAAGUUUUACGAAAAAAGUGGAUAAAAGUAUAAUAAUAGUAGUCUUGAGAGUUUUGUCUCAAAUAUAUUUAUUACUUUAUUCGACAGAGAAGAAAAUCCUUCUUAAGAAAUUUUUUUUUUUUUUUUAAAUCCGAAAUGUUUUACGAGUAUCAUACCAAUAGACCACUUUGAUCUCAAUCCUGGCUUGCACACGGCGAUUAAAUUGUACUUUUCUUUGAGAAAAAAUAUAAGUUACUUUUUCUUUUUUUUUAUAAAAUUUUAGUAUAUUUUUUUCUCUAAUAUCAUUUACCGGUAAAAUAUAUAAAAUUUCACGAGUAAUAUUACUCAUCAUUUUGGAGAACCAAUGAUGGCAGUCUCAUCAGCUAUUUAUCUAGUUCUUUCAUCACAAAUCCUCUUUGGAAUUCUCGUCAACGGUAGCGUUGAGCCAUGGAAAAAAAGUGAAAAAAGUGCUGAAAUUGGUAGUGAAGUUGAAUUACCAUGUAUAUUAAAAAGUCCAAGAUGUGGUGGUCUACACAGUAUUAAAUGGUAUCGUGGUCCUCAGAGAAUUUUUAUAUUCAGUGAAAGUUCUGGUACAACACGUGGUAUUAAUGAUCUUGCUGGUAGAUCGUCAAUGAAUUAUGAUGCAAAUGCAACAAAAACAUUUUUAAAAAUUGAAAAUUUACGUAUUGAAGAUGAGGGUUUAUAUAAAUGUGAAGCAACAUAUCAUGCUGUCAAUCGUGAAUGCAAUAAUGUACAACACAUCACUCUAAAUGUCACAAUAAAACCGAAAUUCAUACGAGUAACAGAAGAGGAUGGGAUGAUGAACCUGACAUCGGGUACAGUGUUGGGUCCAAUGAACGAGGGUACAAUGAUAAUGCUAAACUGUGAGAGCGACGAGGGUAAGCCAGUACCAACUGUCGAGUGGUACAAAGGGGAUCAACGUUUAAAGGCAAUUGGAUCAACUAAGGUACAUGAAACUGGUAUUGGAAGUGGAAGUAGUGUACUACAAUUACAGGUCAGCCGAAACGAAUUAGGCGCCACUUUUGUCUGCAAAGUCAGCAGUCCAGCCCUAACUGAACCCCUCACCACCGACAUCGGUCUUGACGUUCAUGUUCGACCACUGAAAAUGGAUGUCAAGGGUGUGGUUGGACAUGUGGUUAGUGGUACGAAAAUUCUACUUGAAUGUAAAGUAAGUGCAGCUAGACCACCAGCCAAUGUAACAUGGUACAAUGCAACUCAACUACUCGCUGAUGAUAAUGAACGAUUUGAAAUGUUUGAAACAAAAAUUGACGACAAUAGUGAUGGAACAUCUGAGACAAGUAGUUACCUCGCAUUUACUGCAUCUGAAUUUGAUAAUGGUAAGACAUUUAGUUGUUUUGCUGAAAAUUCAGUGACAAUAAUGGAGGGUGUUAAACCAAUGAAAGAAGCAACAACAAUUGAAGUACUAUAUGCACCAAUUGUUAAAAUGUCACCAGUCAAUAUAACAGUCAAUGAAACUGAAGAUUUUGUGAUGAUUUGUGAUUACGAAGCAAAUCCAGCAAGUCUUGUAUCUGUCAAGUGGCUAAGAGAUGGAGAAGAACUUGUGUUAGAUGAUGAACGCUAUGAGGGUGGUGUUACCGAACAAACUUCUUUAACAGUUAAAAAUUCAAGCUCAAUUGACAUGGGAAUAUAUACUUGUAUAUUAUCAAACAGUGUUGGAAAAUCAACAUCCGACGAUGAAAUUAAUGUUUCAAUUUUAUAUAAACCAACAGUACAAGUUAUAGUUGAUCCAAAAUUACCAAUAAAUGAAGCUGAACGUUUAAAUGUAUCAUUGACAUGUGAUGUUGUUACUGGUAAUCCAAUAAAUUUAAAUUCUGUACGUUGGUAUCUUGAUGGUGAUUUAUUAAAAGAAUUACCAGAUUGUUAUAAAAAUUCAACUUUAAAUGAUGAUACAAUGACAUUUUGUGAUAUUGAUCCAAGUAAAUUAUUACUUGAAGCUGUUGGUAGAUCAUUUCAUGGUAAUUAUUCUUGUGAGGGUAGAAAUGAUGCUGGAUGGGGACCAAUAUCAUCAAGUACACCAGUUACUGUUUAUUAUAAACCUGGUCCAGCAACAAUAAAAUAUGAGCCAAAAAGUGUUGUUAAAGGUGGAUCAUUAAAUAUAACAUGUUCAGUUAUUGAUCUUGGUAGACCCCAUGUAACUGGUUACAAAUGGAUACGUGGUAUUCAUAGACUUGCUGAUCAAGAAAAUGCUGUAUUAAGAAUUGAUCCAGUUAAUUUACGAACAAAAGCCAAUUUUACAUGUAUGGCUUACAAUGAUGCUGGUGAUGGUGAUUCAGCAACGACGUUUAUUGACGUAUCUGCUGCGCCGGCAUUUAUACAUCCACUACCUCCAUAUCAUGGAUAUGUUUAUAACGCAGUUAAUGUUAGUAUUGGAUGUCGUGUUGAAUGUUCACCAAUUUGUAAUGUAACAUGGAUAAAAAAUAAUAUACCAAUUGAUUUUUCAAAUACUCAAAGUUAUUAUGUUACAAAUGUUUAUCAUCCAGCUGAUCAGGGUACAAGUGAUUUUGAAAGUAUACAAUCAAAUUUAACAUGGAAUUUAAAUACAUGGACUAAUGGUCAACUUGAUCGUUAUAAAGAUAAUGAUAAUUUUACUUGUGAAAGUAGUGGUAAUGGUAUUGGAAAAGGUGUUACAAGUACAACACAUUUUCAAGUUGAAUUUCCACCAGAAAAUAUGACAAUAUCAAAAAAUGUAAUUGACGUUAUCGUUGAUUAUAUACCAGACAGUGUUAAAUGCAGUGCUGUUGCACAUCCAGAACCAACAUUUCGAUGGUAUCGUGAAGGUUCAACUGAUACAAUAACACAAAGUUCAGUGCUUGUAUUUGAAACAAAAGUACCAAAACGCAGUAAUGGAACGUACAUUUGUGAAGCAAUUAAUAGACAUGGAAGUCAAAAUAUAUCAACUUAUUUAAAUGUUUUAUAUAAACCAGAAUGCCAAAUCAAUAAAGAACAUAUUAAUGGUGAGGAUUAUUUGGUCUGUACAGCAAUUGGUAAUCCCAAGGAAUGUAGUUUCGGUUGGUCAUUGAAAAGUGACAAUGAUUCAAUUGAUCAAAUGGCUGAGAUACGUGAUGGCAAAAGUUAUCUACUUUUAGAUAAUUCUGUUACUAAUUUUCGUACAUACUUAUGCAUCGCCAAUAAUUCAAUUGGUUAUUCAAAUCCGUGUGAACGUGGUGUACCAGCUCGCCGAGGACGUUCGGGAAAUUUACCAUGGUGGUUUCAUCUGGAGGGUGAUUUUCUUAUCAUCGUUAUUAUCGUUGCCACGGUGAUUCUACUUGUUAUCAUUGUCAGUUGCAUUAUAAUUUAUCUGAUUUGUCGAAGGAAACGUAUGCAAGCAAAAUACAGUAGUCGCGUGGUCACACUGGAGGAACGCGAGCAUCCGGAUGGUGGUCCACCAAGUCCAACUGAAUCAACAAGAUCCCAUGAGCAUUGUUCACCAUCAUUACAUCCAAGUCCAGCACCGCGUUGGCCAUUAAAGCCUGGUGUUUUAGUUCACGUCAAUAAAACGCACAGUUUAAGUGCCGGAUUAAGUCCAGUAAAUGUUAGACAGAAUAAUCAAAUACAUACAAAUUUGUCUGGCUGUCCAACUGAUACAAUUGUUGGCAAUCAAUAUCGUUUGGAGAAUGUGGAUAAUAGUACUAUUGUUAGAAGGCCAGUAAGGCCAUUUAGACGUGGUAAAUCUUCAGCAAUAGCACGUGUCUUGAAAGACCACCAUCACCAUCAACAACAACAACAACAACAAGAACAGCAACAAAUACCAACAUUACCAAUAAUUCAUGAUGAGGGUAUGAUUGCUAGGGCUAAUAGAAUAAGAGCAAUGUUUAGUUUACAAUUGAGAGAACCAGUUUCAUUUCCUGGUAUCUCAAGAGACAAAACAGCUGUGACUUACAAGAGAAUUGUACCUCGACAACGGAUGUUGUUGCACAACGACACCCCAUCACUUUCCAUAGAAAGUCGUUUCAACAAAACCAGUGACGACGGCUGUGGUAACGUUAACGCCAACGUCAACACAAAUGCAUCCCGUAAGCGCAAAAAGCCCGGAGCAGAUCCUGGUCAAGGGACUAAUAAUAACCAUGUUGAUAGUGUCUCUGAGGGUUUACCUGAUUCGGAUACAAAAACAUUCUAUGAAAAUCUUCCAUUUCAUGGUAUUCAAAAUCCUCCAAAUAAGUUGAUUUCACCCAAGUUGCCUCGUAUAAUGUCAUUGCAUGGUACAUUGAAUUCAACCACAGUAUCACCAUGUUCAUCAAGACCAUUGAGUAGAGCAACUAGUUUAUGUGAUGCUAGUUCUGGUUAUGAAUCAACAAGAAGUCAUCUUGGACCACAUUAUAGUUAUCACAAUAUGCCAAGAAAUAAUUCACCAGAAUUAAAAUACAAUACACUUAAACCAAGACGUAGAAAACAACAACAAUAUCAUCAUAAACAAACAAAAUUUUAUUCAUUACGUAUUUGUCGUAAGCAUGAUAAAAAACAUAAAAAUUAUCAAUUAUAUGCAAUACCAAUUAGUAAACAAUGUCAACAUAAUAAUACAAACAUAAGUACAAGUACAAUUAAUACUGAUAUGCAAGAAAUAUCUUGUGAUGCUGAUGAAUCAUUGGAUAAUGAAAAGAAAAUAACAACACCAUCACCAACACCAAUACCAACAACUAAUGAAAUUAUAAAUAAUGAUAAUGAUAAUUUGAUACCACCAAUACCAGCACCAAGAACAAUCAAAACAGAUCCAACAAAGCAUACCUAUCAAAAUAUACCACCACCAAUUUAUCCAACUAAAUCAAGACAAAAUAAACUUGCAUCUCAUUGAUAUUAAUAAAUUAUCAUUAUUAUUUUAUAAUUAAAUUAUAUUAUUGAUAAUUAAUUUAACUAUUAUAAUAUUUAUUUUGCAAUGUGGUUCACCAAAAAAAAAUUUGAAAUAAUAAUAAAUAUGUAGUGUAUAAUGUCGACACAAAAUUAAACAACUUUGUGUGACAGACUUGACAAUGAGAAAGAGGAAAUAAUAUAAAUUAAAUUUUUAAAGAUAAAAAGAGAGAUGUAAUAUCAUAACUAAAAGUGUCUACAAGUUGGUAUGCUGUUGUUGUAAAUAAAUUUACAUGUGUUUAAAAGUUGUUUGAUAGUUGGAAUAUAUGGUAGAGACACAAUUCAUUGGAUUGUUUGGACAAGAUGAAAAUUAACUGAUACAAAACAUAAAUUAUUAUAAUUUAUAUAUAUUUAUUUAUAAUUGUGCUUUAAAAAUUAUUAUUUUGCUUUUAAUUAUAAGCUAACAAACAAAUUAUUCAAAAUACAUAAAGUAUAUCUUGGUUCAAUUAAUGUGCAUGGCCAUUCAUCAAAUAUCAACCAAAUAAUGUUUACGACUACAAAGAUCAUUAUCAACAAAGUUUAAAA